rnacentral:lncRNA from 1 species
GGAAGAUGAUAAGUUCAGUUUGGGAUAUAAUUGAGUUCAAGUUUGAUAGUCCAAUGAAUAUAUCCAUUUGUCAGUUGAAACUAUAGACAUGGAGCUAAGGGGGGAAAUUGGGACCAAUGGUAUGAAUAUGCAUUCAUCUUCAGCAAUAAGUGGUAGGUGACUCUUUGAGAGGAAAGAAGACUAUACUGGGAGAAACAGACAGACACACAACUGAGAUCUUAGAACCAUUUUCUUUCCUUGGUAAAUCAAGUAGCCUAAUAUAAAACAGAUUUAACUGAUAAUUUUUAGUCGACGUAAUUGUCAUAAAUUAAAGUUUAUGCCCUUCCAUGAGUACAUCUACUUUUAAAACAUCUGUGUAAUAUUUUUAGAAGCUAAUCAUGGAAUAGAACAAAAAUAAAACCUUGAUAAAAUCCAUGAAGGAAAAGAAUAUAGCCUACAUUCUACAAGAGGAAUGAAAUAAACUAGAAAAUGGCAGCAAGAGUUUAAAAAAAGGAAACUGCUUAUUUGCAAAUUAGGAAACACAUACAUAAGUAACUCUUGGAUCAAAGAAAAGGUAAAAUUUGUGAUUACAAAUUAUUUAGAAAAUAAUAAUUAUUAGAAAAUUACAUGUCAAAUCUUACAAGAUGGACCUAAAACUGUUCAGAAGAAAAAGCAGCUUUAUAUGCUUGCUUUAUUAUGUCAGGAGUAACACAAAUAAAAGAGUUAAGCUUAAUUAAAUGUAAGGAGUUAGAAAAUAAAAAUAUCUUUUGAAAGCAGAAGGAAAUAAAAGCAAAGAGUAAUGAGAGCAAACACUAAAAAUAUAAUAGUCUGGCAUAUUCUGGCAAUUCCAGAAAAAAGUUGAAAUGAGAAAGAGCUUAAAACAACAAAUAGAUAAAAUGAGCAAUGAGAUAUAACUAUAGAUAUGAGAGAAUUCUUAAAAUUAUACAAAAAUACCAUAUGCUGUUAAAUUUUCAAAUUUCACUGAUUUUCUGGGAAAAUAUAAAUGCCUAAAAUUAACUCCAUAAGAACUAGUAAAUUGAAUAAACCUUUGUCAGCAGAAAAAAUUGAAAAAAAAUUAAUUCCAGUAAGAUUUC